rnacentral:rRNA from 1 species
AUACGUAGGGGGCGAGCGUUGUCCGGAAUGAUUGGGCGUAAAGGGCGCGUAGGCGGCGCGGUAAGUCUGGAGUGAAAGUCCUGCUUUCAAGGUGGGAAUUGCUUUGGAUACUGCCGCGCUUGAGUGCAGGAGAGGUUAUCGGAAUUCCCGGUGUAGCGGUGAAAUGCGUAGAGAUCGGGAGGAACGCCAGUGGCGAAGGCGGGUAACUGGACUGCAACUGACGCUGAGGCGCGAAAGUGUGGGGAGCAAACAGGAUUAGAUACCCUGGUAGUCCACACUGUAAACGAUGAAUGCUAGGUGUAAGAGGUAUCGACCCCUUUUGUGCCGGAGUCAACACAAUAAGCAUUCCGCCUGGGGAGUACGGCCGCAAGGUUGAAACUCAAAUGAAUUGACGGGG